UACGAGUGCCCCGAGCGUUAUCCGGAAUCAUUGGGCGUAAAGGGUGUGUAGGUGGUCGUGUUAGUCGGAUGUUAAAACCUGGGGCUCAACCUCAGAUCGGCGUUCGAAACGGCACAACUAGAGGAUGGCAGGGAUGUAUGGAACUCAUGGAGUAGGGGUGAAAUCCGUUGAUAUCAUGGGGAACACCAAAAGCGAAGGCAGUACAUUGGGCCACUCCUGACACUGAAACACGAAAGCGUGGGUAGCGAAUGGG
rnacentral:rRNA from 1 species